UAAUACCGGAUACGACACCAACGGGCAUCCGUAUGGUGUGGAAAGUUUUUCGGUCUGGGAUGGACUCGCGGCCUAUCAGCUUGUUGGUGAGGUAGUGGCUCACCAAGGCGACGACGGGUAGCCGGCCUGAGAGGGCGACCGGCCACACUGGGACUGAGACACGGCCCAGACUCCUACGGGAGGCAGCAGUGGGGAAUAUUGCACAAUGGGCGAAAGCCUGAUGCAGCGACGCCGCGUGAGGGAUGACGGCCUUCGGGUUGUAAACCUCUUUCAGCAGGGAAGAAGCGCAAGUGACGGUACCUGCAGAAGAAGCACCGGCUAACUACGUGC
rnacentral:rRNA from 1 species